AUUGAACGCUGGCGGCAGGCCUAACACAUGCAAGUCGAGCGGAGCGGCGGACGGGGGAGUGAUGCUUAGGAAUCUGCCUGGUACUGGGGGAUAACGUUCGGAAACGGGCGCGAAUACCGCAUACUAUCAGAUGAGCCUAGGGCGGAUUAGCUUUUUGGUGGGGUAAAGGCCUACCAAGGCCCCGAUCCGUAACUGGUCUGAGAGAAGGAUGAGUAAAACUGGAACUGAGACACGGUCAGGACUCCUACGGGGGGCAGCGGUGGGAAAUAUUGGACAAUGGGCGAAGGCCGGAGCCGGCCAGGCCGCGUGUGUGAGGAAGGUCUCCGGAUUGAAAGGCACUUUAGGUUGGGAGGCUUUACCAACAGAAUAAGCACCGGCUAGCUUCGUGCAAGCAGCCGCGGUAAUUC
rnacentral:rRNA from 1 species